rnacentral:rRNA from 1 species
GACGGAGGAUGCAAGCGUUAUCCGGAAUGAUUGGGCGUAAAGCGUCCGCAGGUGGCAGUUCAAGUCUGCUGUCAAAGACCGGGGCUUAACUUCGGAAAGGCAGUGGAAACUGAACAGCUAGAGUAUGGUAGGGGCAGAGGGAAUUCCUGGUGUAGCGGUGAAAUGCGUAGAGAUCAGCAGGAACACCCGUGGCGAAGGCGGCCCCCUGGGCCGAACCUGACGCUGAGGCGCGAAGGCUAGGGGAGCGAACGGG